AUACAGAGGGUGCGAGCGUUAAUCGGAAUUACUGGGCGUAAAGCGCGCGUAGGCGGCUUAUUAAGUCAGAUGUGAAAUCCCCGGGCUCAACCUGGGAACUGCAUCUGAUACUGGUAAGCUAGAGUUUUGGAGAGGGAAGUAGAAUUUCAGGUGUAGCGGUGAAAUGCAUAGAGAUCUGAAGGAAUACCAGUGGCGAGGGCGACUUCCUGGCCAAAAACUGACGCUGAGGUGCGAAAGCGUGGGUAGCAAACGGGAUUAGAAACCCUAGUAGUCC
rnacentral:rRNA from 1 species